UACGGAGGAGGCAAGCGUUAUCCGGAAUUAUUGGGCGUAAAGCGUCCGCAGGUGGCACUUCAAGUCUGUCGUCAAAGACUGGGGCUUAACCCUGGAAAGGCGGUGGAAACUGAAGCGCUAGAGUGCGGUAGGGGUAGAGGGAAUUCCCGGUGUAGCGGUGAAGUGCGUAGAGAUCGGGAAGAACAUCGGUGGCGAAAGCGGCCAACUGGACCACAACUGACGCUGAGGCGCGAAAGCGUGGGGAGCAAACAGG
rnacentral:rRNA from 1 species